UAAUCUUAAUCUCACUGAUAUCU
rnacentral:piRNA from 1 species